rnacentral:rRNA from 1 species
UUUUUCUGUAGAUUGACGCUGGCGGCAGGCCUAACACAUGCAAGUCGAGCGGUAGCACAGAGAGCUUGCUCUCGGGUGACGAGCGGCGGACGGGUGAGUAAUGUCUGGGAAACUGCCUGAUGGAGGGGGAUAACUACUGGAAACGGUAGCUAAUACCGCAUAAUGUCGCAAGACCAAAGUGGGGGACCUUCGGGCCUCAUGCCAUCAGAUGUGCCCAGAUGGGAUUAGCUAGUAGGUGGGGUAACGGCUCACCUAGGCGACGAUCCCUAGCUGGUCUGAGAGGAUGACCAGCCACACUGGAACUGAGACACGGUCCAGACUCCUACGGGAGGCAGCAGUGGGGAAUAUUGCACAAUGGGCGCAAGCCUGAUGCAGCCAUGCCGCGUGUGUGAAGAAGGCCUUCGGGUUGUAAAGCACUUUCAGCGGGGAGGAAGGCGUUAAGGUUAAUAACCUUGUCGAUUGACGUUACCCGCAGAAGAAGCACCGGCUAACUCCGUGCCAGCAGCCGCGGUAAUACGGAGGGUGCAAGCGUUAAUCGGAAUUACUGGGCGUAAAGCGCACGCAGGCGGUCUGUCAAGUCGGAUGUGAAAUCCCCGGGCUCAACCUGGGAACUGCAUUCGAAACUGGCAGGCUAGAGUCUUGUAGAGGGGGGUAGAAUUCCAGGUGUAGCGGUGAAAUGCGUAGAGAUCUGGAGGAAUACCGGUGGCGAAGGCGGCCCCCUGGACAAAGACUGACGCUCAGGUGCGAAAGCGUGGGGAGCAAACAGGAUUAGAUACCCUGGUAGUCCACGCCGUAAACGAUGUCGAUUUGGAGGUUGUGCCCUUGAGGCGUGGCUUCCGGAGCUAACGCGUUAAAUCGACCGCCUGGGGAGUACGGCCGCAAGGUUAAAACUCAAAUGAAUUGACGGGGGCCCGCACAAGCGGUGGAGCAUGUGGUUUAAUUCGAUGCAACGCGAAGAACCUUACCUGGUCUUGACAUCCACAGAACUUUCCAGAGAUGGAUUGGUGCCUUCGGGAACUGUGAGACAGGUGCUGCAUGGCUGUCGUCAGCUCGUGUUGUGAAAUGUUGGGUUAAGUCCCGCAACGAGCGCAACCCUUAUCCUUUGUUGCCAGCGGUCCGGCCGGGAACUCAAAGGAGACUGCCAGUGAUAAACUGGAGGAAGGUGGGGAUGACGUCAAGUCAUCAUGGCCCUUACGACCAGGGCUACACACGUGCUACAAUGGCAUAUACAAAGAGAAGCGACCUCGCGAGAGCAAGCGGACCUCAUAAAGUAUGUCGUAGUCCGGAUUGGAGUCUGCAACUCGACUCCAUGAAGUCGGAAUCGCUAGUAAUCGUAGAUCAGAAUGCUACGGUGAAUACGUUCCCGGGCCUUGUACACACCGCCCGUCACACCAUGGGAGUGGGUUGCAAAAGAAGUAGGUAGCUUAACCUUCGGGAGGGCGCUUACCACUUUGUGAUUCAUGACUGGGGUGAAU